rnacentral:miRNA from 1 species
CAGGACACCCAGUUAAUUUUGAACUUCAGAUUAAACAAUGAAUACUAUUUUAGUGUAAGUACAUUCAAUGCAAUAUUUGGGACAUAUUUAUACUAAAAAAGUAUUUGUUAUUUAUCUGAAAUUCACAUUGAACAGGAUGUCCUAGUA